GAGACACGAGCCUGCUGACAGGCACCAUGCCUGGCCGGAUGCUGCUACCUGGCUUCAGUGACACCUGCAUGUCCUCGGGGAUGAAGAAGGACUCAUUGUACCAGAUAUCGAAUUCUGCGAGGAGGCAGGAAGACAGCAUGGGUCUCACCCUUUCCCAUCUCCCCCUCCGGCUCUCAGAGUCCUGGAAACGCUUUGGAAGCCCCUGUCCAGCCCCAGCCUCUGUCAGAGAGCAGCUCUGAAGCCGCUUCUAGAACCCAGGUGGUGGCCUUGCCCUCUGCCUCCCGGGACCUCAGGUGGUCAGCCAACCUUCCCAAAUGGCACACCUGUGAGCAGGCGGUGACGACACUGAUCCACCAGGUGCUGGCAGUACUGGAUCUCGGCCUUGAGGUCACGCAGGUCCUGGUACUCAGCACGGUACUGCUUCUUGAGGUCUUUGAGCUUCAGAAUCAGCAGGAAUUCCUCCUCAUCGAUGAUCAUCAGCCCCUUGUUCUCAUACUCACCUGCAGGGACACAGGAGAGAGACAGCCAGCUAGAGAGGGAACACAAGCAGGGGGAGCGGGA